AAUGCAGGGACGAGUCGAGGCGAGCUCAGUUCAGGUAUUCUUUGGUUCAGUUUUGUAAGCUGCUUACAGCGUGUUAAUCGUCGUUGACGUCGUCUCCUACACCGAGCUACGAGGAGAUAGAUUCGGGGCACGUCAGAUGCAUCACGCACCGGCGAGUCGAAGUCAAAAGGCGAUGCUUCCGCGCUCAAAUAGUAACUGCUGCAAUCGUCGCUGCCAACAAACUUCUCACUGAUGCUGUCCUUGUGGGCAGUGGGCUCUCCAGAAGGGAGAGCUAAGCAACUUGAAGGUAAACAAGAAAACAUUCUUGACAAGAGAACAAUGUAGAACAGCUGGUCAGCAAAACUCAAACUCAGUGCCUUGCAGUAAAUAAAAUUGAUGGUGAUGUCAGCUGACUUGUGAAAAAAAAAAAAAAAGUUUCCUCAUUUA